rnacentral:rRNA from 1 species
CAUAACUCAGGGAAACUUGAGCUAAUAUCUGAUGAGGCCUCCGGGUCAAAGCUUCGGCGGUAAAGGAUGAGUCUGCGUCUGAUUAGCUAGUUGGUAAGGUAAUGGCUUACCAAGGCGACGAUCAGUAACUGGUCUGAGAGGACGAUCAGUCACACUGGAACUGAGACACGGUCCAGACUCCUACGGGAGGCAGCAGUGAGGAAUUUUGGACAAUGGGGGAAACCCUGAUCCAGCGACGCCGCGUGUGGGAUGAAUGGGUUAUGCCCUGUAAACCACUGUCAGCAGAGAAGAAAAGGUUCCUUUGGAACCCGGGACUGUAUCUGCAGAGGAAGGACCGGCUAACUACGUG